UACGUAGGGGGCAAGCGUUGUCCGGAUUCAUUGGGCGUAAAGAGCUCGUAGGCGGCUUGUCACGUCGGGUGUGAAAGCCCGGGGCUUAACCCCGGGUCUGCAUUCGAUACGGGCUAGCUAGAGUGUGGUAGGGGAGAUCGGAAUUCCUGGUGUAGCGGUGAAAUGCGCAGAUAUCAGGAGGAACACCGGUGGCGAAGGCGGAUCUCUGGGCCAUUACUGACGCUGAGGAGCGAAAGCGUGGGGAGCGAACAGG
rnacentral:rRNA from 1 species